rnacentral:rRNA from 1 species
AGAGUUUGAUCAUGGCUCAGGACGAACGCUGGCGGCGUGCUUAACACAUGCAAGUCGAACGGAAAGGCCCUUUCGGGGGUACUCGAGUGGCGAACGGGUGAGUAACACGUGGGUGAUCUGCCCUGCACUUCGGGAUAAGCUUGGGAAACUGGGUCUAAUACCGGAUAGGACUACGGCCUGCAUGGGUUGUGGUGGAAAGCUUUUGCGGUGUGGGAUGGGCCCGCGGCCUAUCAGCUUGUUGGUGGGGUGAUGGCCUACCAAGGCGACGACGGGUAGCCGGCCUGAGAGGGUGUCCGGCCACACUGGGACUGAGAUACGGCCCAGACUCCUACGGGAGGCAGCAGUGGGGAAUAUUGCACAAUGGGCGCAAGCCUGAUGCAGCGACGCCGCGUGGGGGAUGACGGCCUUCGGGUUGUAAACCUCUUUCACCAUCGGCGAAGCCCAUGAUUUUUGUUGUGGGUGACGGUAGGUGGAGAAGAAGCACCGGCCAACUACGUGCCAGCAGCCGCGGUAAUACGUAGGGUGCGAGCGUUGUCCGGAAUUACUGGGCGUAAAGAGCUCGUAGGUGGUUUGUCGCGUUGUCCGUGAAAUUCCCUGGCUUAACUGGGGGCGUGCGGGCGAUACGGGCAGACUGGAGUACUGCAGGGGAGACUGGAAUUCCUGGUGUAGCGGUGGAAUGCGCAGAUAUCAGGAGGAACACCGGUGGCGAAGGCGGGUCUCUGGGCAGUAACUGACGCUGAGGAGCGAAAGCGUGGGGAGCGAACAGGAUUAGAUACCCCGGUAGUCC